rnacentral:tRNA from 1 species
GGGUAUAUAGCUCAGUGAUAGAGCCCAAGCUUAGCAUGUAUGAGGUCCUGGGUUCAAUCCCCAGUACCACCA